ACAUUUUCUAAAAAUCUUAAAAGCAUUUGUGAUUUUUUUUUUUUUCUAAGUGCGGUGGUGGAUGAAGUUAAUGAAUGUUUCUCCAGUCCUGGGCUCUGAAGUAGAAACUCAGGACUUUCCAAGGAGCAUAGUAUAAACAAUGUAAAUGGCAGUGCCAUUGUAUCAUCCUUCAAGAAAAGGAGGGCAGGAAUGCCCUGGUCCUAAAAUGGCCCUCCCAGCUCACAGGAUUAAAAGCCCAGGGAACUAGGAGAGCCCGCCCAGCUGGAAUGCCCUGUCAGUGUCACCUAGAAGGACUCUGGCUUUCUCUCAUGUAUGAUGGGAACAAAGAUCAGAGCACACAAGAGGGAAGAGCCUCUCGGGCAGCUGCCCCAGGACAAAUCGUCGUAAGGGACAGGAGGUGCUGUUCUCUGGCAAAGCACCAUAGGCAUCAUGAGCAAGAGGCAUGCCUGUCCAGCUGGUCACCACUGGAUUUCCUGGCAAAGUCCCCAACAGCUUGUCACCAGGUUCCUUCCCUGUAAACAUUUUUCAAUGAACCUUCACAUCUCUGUGUACCUUCCUUGUCUCUCAGCAACCUAUCCCACUGCCCUGGCAUAGCAGGACUGUGGACAUUACAGAUAUUUUAUGGGGAAGUCUGAAACGGCAAUAUGAGGUGCCCAUUCAAAGCAUCGGGCUCAAAUUCAGAAUAGUCAAAGGCAAGAAGAAGUUGGGAAAUUUUUACUUAAUGGGACAUUCCAUAGCACUUACAUAGGUGGAAGUAUUUGAGGUAGAAUGGUUUAAUCCCAAGUAAAAACAAUUGCAGUUUCUUUGCCAUCAGAUAGCUAAGACACACGUUGACCCUAAAGUUCUUGAACUUGAGUGUUUACAACUGGAAAACCUCAGUAGAUAAGCGGUCUCCUUUUUGCAGACUAAAGGAAUUCUGCUUCAGAGAUUUUCCUUUUCCUUUUUCAUAAUCAAUAUUUAGUUUUCUUUGCAUCUUUCUCUAUUAAACUGUAAAUAAUUUUGACGUGCAAACUUUUCCCUCAAAUUUUUGAAACAAAUUUGCUAUUUUUUGA